CCCUUAGAUGUUCUGGGCCGCACGCGUGCUACACUGAGUGGAUCAGCGGGUCAGGUUGCGCGAAAGUGUUUCCUAAUCUUUAAAUCCGCUCGUGAUGGGGAUUGACGGUUGCAAUUUUCCGUCAUGAACGAGGAAUACCUUGUAAGCGCGGGUCAUCAUCCCGCGCUGAAUACGUCCCUGCCCUUUGUACACACCGCCCUUCGCUCCUACCGAUUGAGUGGUCCGGUGAGGCUUUGGGAUCUGAGCGGAAAGAGCGUUUCGCUGUUUCUGCCCGGAAAACUCAGUCGAACCUUAUCAUUUAGAGGAAGGAGAAGUCGUAACA
rnacentral:rRNA from 1 species